GAGCGGAAGGCCCUUUCGGGGGUACUCGAGCGGCGAACGGGUGAGUAACACGUGAGUAAUCUGCCCUUCACUUGGGGAUAACUACCGGAAACGGUGGCUAAUACCCGAUACGACAACUUCUCGCAUGAGCUGGUUGUGGAAAGUUUUUUCGGUGGAGGAUGUGCUCGCGGCCUAUCAGCUUGUUGGUGGGGUAAUGGCCUACCAAGGCUUCGACGGGUAGCCGGCCUGAGAGGGUGACCGGCCACACUGGGACUGAGACACGGCCCAGACUCCUACGGGAGGCAGCAGUGGGGAAUAUUGGACAAUGGGCGGAAGCCUGAUCCAGCAACGCCGCGUGAGGGAUGACGGCCUUCGGGUUGUAAACCUCUUUCAGCGGGGACGAAGCGCCGAUGAUGGUGGUGACGGUACCCGCAGAAGAAGCACCGGCCAACUACGUGCCAGCAGCCGCGGUAACACGUAGGGUGCGAGCGUUGUCCGGAAUUAUUGGGCGUAAAGGGCUCGUAGGCGGUUUGUCGCGUCGGGAGUGAAAACACCGGGCUUAACUCGGUGCUUGCUUUCGAUACGGGCAGACUAGAGGUAUGCAGGGGAGAACGGAAUUCCUGGUGUAGCGGUGAAAUGCGCAGAUAUCA
rnacentral:rRNA from 1 species